rnacentral:rRNA from 1 species
ACGGAGAAGGUUAGGUCAGCCGGGUGUUGGACGUCCCGGUUUAAGCGUGUAGGCGUGCCCCUUAGGCAAAUCCGGGGGGCUGAGCUGAGGCGUGAUGACGAGGAACCACGGUUCCGAAGUGAUUGAUACCAAGCUUCCAGGAAAAGCCACUAAGCUUCAGUCUAGAGUUGACCGUACCGCAAACCGACACAGGUGGGCAGGAUGAAAAUUCUAAGGCGCUUGAGAGAACUCAGGAGAAGGAACUCGGCAAAUUAACACCGUAACUUCGGGAGAAGGUGUGCCCCGGUAGCGUGUAGAGACUUGCUCUCGAAGCGCGAUGGGGUUGCAGUGAAAUGGUGGCUGCGACUGUUUAAUAAAAACACAGCACUCUGCAAACACGAAAGUGGACGUAUAGGGUGUGACGCCUGCCCGGUGCCGGAAGGUUAAGUGAUGGGGUGCGAGCUCUUGAUCGAAGCCCCGGUAAACGGCGGCCGUAACAAUAACGGUCCUAAGGUAGCGAAAUUCCUUGUCGGGUAAGUUCCGACCUGCACGAAUGGCGUAACGAUGGCCACACUGUCUCCUCCUGGGACUCAGCGAAGUUGAAAUGUUUGUGAAGAUGCAAUCUACCCGCGGCUAGACGGAAAGACCCCAUGAACCUUUACUGUAGCUUUGCAUUGGACUUUGAACCGGUUUGUGUAGGAUAGGUGGGAGACUGUGAAGCCGGGACGCUAGUUUCGGUGGAGUCAACCUUGAAAUACCACCCUGAUUUGUUUGAGGUUCUAACCUUGGUCCGUGAAUCCGGAUCGGGGACCGUGCAUGGUAGGCAGUUUGACUGGGGCGGUCUCCUCCCAAAAGGUAACGGAGGAGUACGAAGGUACGCUUAGGGCGGUCGGACAUCGCCCACAAAGUGCAAUGGCAAAAGCGUGCUUGACUGCGAGACCCACAAGUCGAGCAGGUACGAAAGUAGGUCAUAGUGAUCCGGUGGUUCUGUAUGGAAGGGCCAUCGCUCAACGGAUAAAAGGUACUCUGGGGAUAACAGGCUAAUUCCUCCCAAGAGUUCAUAUCGACGGGGGAGUUUGGCACCUUGAUGUCGGCUCAUCACAUCCUGGGGCUGUAGUCGGUCCCAAGGGUAUGGCUGUUCGCCAUUUAAAGUGGUACGCGAGCUGGGUUUAAAACGUCGUGAGACAGUUUGGUCCCUAUCUGCCGUGGGCGCUGGAAAUUUGAAGGGGGCUGCUCCUAGUACGAGAGGACCGGAGUGGACGAACCUCUGGUGUACCGGUUAUGACGCCAGUCGUAUCGCCGGGUAGCUAAGUUCGGAAGAGAUAAACGCUGAAAGCAUCUAAGCGUGAAACUCGCCUUAAGAUAAGAUUUCCCGGAGUCUUGAACUCCCUGAAGGGUCGUCGAAGACCACGACGUUGAUAGGUCAGGUGUGGAAGCGCAGCAAUGCGUUAAGCUAACUGAUACUAAUUGCCCGUGCGGCUUG